GCAUUUACAUCAUCACUAUCCAUCUCCAGAACUUUUUCAUCAUCCCAACCUGAAACUUGGUACCUAUUAAACAAUACACCCCAUUCCACCCCGCUACAUCUUCUGGUAACCACUGUUCUACUUUCUGUCUCUGUGGAUUUGACUGCUUUAGGUACUGUGGGUAAGUGGAAUCACAUAAUAUUUGUCCUUUUGUGUUUUAUGUGUUUCAUGUAGCAUAAUGUCUUCAAGUUUCAUCCAUGAUGUAGCUAGUAUUUGAAUUUCCUUGACAGUGACAUCAGAGGAAUGCAGCGUAAGGACAAAUCUUUUCCUUUCCCCCAGACAUUUCAACAAGUUUCCCAUCUAUAAUUCAACAAAGAAAUCCCUGCUCAGCACAGACGCACACCUGAGAAAUCCGAGCAUGGAAACAACUGAAGGCUAGUCUCCUCACUCUUCUACACGACCUUGCAAUUUGGGAGAAAUUCUACAAGUCAUGCUGUGACUUCCCAGCACGACCUUGUGUCAUGGCCGCCUAAGGACACAAACAUCUUUCAAAAUUGGCCUCGCUUUGCAUGUAUUACAUAACUUUGAGCGUGGCACAGCUUUUGAAAUGGGAAAAAUUUUCAGGACAUGGAAUGAAGAGCAUCAAAAGGAUAAGAGAGCAAUCUACAGGAAAUCAUAUCUGACCACUCACAGUGUCAACAGCAAUCCAACCACAGGAUACCCAUGAGCACUGGACAUUCCAGGACAUCCAAGAAGACAGCUAACCAAAGGAACUUCAGCAUCUGGAAGGCUGGACCAAGGCAGGGGUGCAUUUGACAGGGAUGUCCACUGACCACGCACCUCAAAAGGUGACAUGGCUCAUUACCAGCCAGCUUUUUUUUGGUGAGAAGUGACCAGGCCCUAAUGCGCCAGUGUGAGCACACUGGCUUGAGAUAACUGGCUGGGCCUGACUAAAUAUGAGACCAGAUUUUAGACAAAAUGCCUUUUAACCCCAAGGUGGGGGAGGGAGAUGGAAAGGGCCUCUUAUAUCUGCAGGGUCUGCCUGCCCUGCACUCGUGCCAACAGGAGGGCUCCACUGGCACAAGGAACUCCAGCACGCUCCUCCUCCAGGUUCAGAACACAUCCCCGCAGCCUUCAAAGCGCCUGACAUCCUUUCAAGUGAGCAACUACGAGGCAAAUGCAAACAGAGCGCGUUCUGGAGGCGUCCCGUCACUCAGCCCUCAAUCUGCCUGUUCUUCCAGACACUCCUUCUCCUGCCUGAUUUAUUUCAUAUUAAAAGGGCUGUCAAUCUGUAUCACAGGAACAGGUUGGGAAAAGUGAGUGAUGUUUGCCAAGUGGGUUUUUUGUUGUUGUUUGUUAUUGUUAAAAAUAAUCGUCUCCCUCUCUCCGGCCAUGCUCCUGCCUCUCCCCACACGGCUCUUCUAGUCCCUGCUUGCCUUUCUCUGCAGGUAUCUACACAUCGGAGGUACGGGCUGCACGUACCAGAUGCAUUUACAUUAGAAACGUGGUAUAAGAAGGCUGUGGCAGACCAGUUUUUAUGAUCCGUCAAAUAUAUCUCCUUUUACCAUCAGAUGGCUUGGCAACAGGACCAUUCUUCUUUUGAAUAAAAUAAAUGUGCCUGCUACAUGGCAGAAUAUUCAGCGUUGUAGAGGCUCUGCCCUGGCCAGUGUGGGCUGCAUCCUGUGGGCUUUGUGACAGCGGGAUGCUAGGAUGCAAUCUGCAGUUCCCGGUGGGAUUGCAUUAUAUGGUGCCGGCUGCAUUAUCGUUUUAUGUUGGGUGUUAAUUACUGCCUUCUCCAGUCAUUGAGGCUAGCUUCCCUUACUUUUCUCUGCUAUUCUGGCCUAUGAAGAGAAUUACUCCAUCAUUCCAUACUGUUCAUUUCUCAUUACUCUCGAAGGUGCCUGAUUCUUUGAGAACCAAUCAAAGCCAUCUUUGCCUGCCAUAUGAAAACUCCCGAAUUACUAGAACAAAGUACCUGAAGUCAGGUGGUCUCCAUGCAGAGGGUCCAAGUCAGUGGUUCUGUGUUGAGCAUGAGUGGGAAUUGCUGGGGGAGUUUUUGAGAAGCAAACUCCUGAGCUCCAACCCCAGAAAUGCAGGUUUGGGGGUGGGGCUCAGGAAUAUGCAUUUUAAAUCAUGGCUCAGGCUUGGGUGGGGUGGGGUGGGGUGAGGUAGGUGGGGGGUGAUGGUGUGUGGCUCGGGCCCAGGCAUCUGCUGUGAUGCAGCUGAUCCACCCCAUCCCUCCCUCCAGGCUUCCUCCAGGCUCUACCUCUUUCAGCUCUGCUCUCCCGUGUAACAGAACAUAAUCGCUUAGGAGAAAGGCCCAAGUCGGCAACAAUAUUAAUGCUGCUCUUUCCUUUCCAAAAGAAUUAGACACAUAAUAGAAUUGUGAAGUGAAAAGACAGGAAGGAGAGAGAGAAAGAAGAAAAAUAUUCUAGAAUAAAAAUAUAAGCAAACUACUACUCAGUAACAAAGCCCUCCAGAGGCCCAAGGAGAAUGCUGCCUUCAGGGAAUUAAUAGACCCACUUCCUAGGUUGGGUCACUGAGGAGUCCAGGGAGGUCAGAUGAGAGAAGAUGCUGGUGUGGGAGGAGCUUUCUCUGUAAUGCAGCACACCAAGUCUGUUUUUGCUCUCAGGUAACACAUGCUGAAAAGUGGCCCCUGAAAGGAAUGGGGUAGAUCUUCAAGAACCUACUGGAACUUGGGAAGAAAACUCAUGGAACAGCACCUUUUCCCAGAGCUCCCAGGACAGGCACCGAGGCUGUGCUGGUUGGUUGAAUAGUGACAAACUGAACGCCUUCUGGGAAUGCUCUGUUUCCAGGUCACUCCUGGCCCACACCAUGGCUUGGAUUAUCCAAGCCAUGAAGAUCCACAAGCCGGGUCAUGAGCUAUGUUUCCCAGAAGACUGGAGGGGAACUUGAUUUAUUGGUCUUGGAGCCCCAAGGCAGGAGGAGCAGCGCCUUCUUGUAGAACAAUCCCACCCAUUGACAUGCUGAAGCAGCUUGUUCCCCAAGGUGAUAACAUUUGAAAGCUCUGCUGGCAUAAUCCCGGGUGGAUAUUUUCCGCUAGUCUGCCCUGAAGGGACACACUCACACAUACAGUGACAUGUUGCAUGUGCAAAACGUGAGGAGUGGGCUUCAAGGCCGCUGUGUGUGCCACCCUGGAUGGAAAAGGGCUGCAAAGGAAAUGAUAGAGUGUGUUCAAUGGCCUUCUCCUUCAUCUGAGAAACAUCAUUUGAAAUUUUACUUUCAGGGGCCGCCCCUUCCAACAGAUUCUCCUGAAAAAUGGAUACAAAUGGGGAGAGGGGAGAAGGGACUAGAACCUCAAAGGGCAGAACCUACAGGAAUUAGGUUGCUCAACUGGAAACAGGGAUGUGACAGCCUCAUCUGGGCCCCUAGAACCAGCUCCAGCUGGUUUCCUGUCAGUCACAGGUGGGAAAACCACCACCCCAGUGCUGCUCUCAGUUCCUGUCUGUUUUGGGACAUCUGUUCCUGUUCCCCAACAGGAUAGGAAUGUCCCCUCUCAACACAAGAGAGCUUGUCACGCGGGGAGCUCUGGGACACAUGCGUGUUGGGGGCUUCCUGGCAGCUCCUGGCAUUUCAUAUUGGUUUCAAGGUGGCCUACUCUGUGCCUCCCACAGGCCUUGGAACAACAGAGAUCUGGAACAAUCCGUUCUCAAAAUAACAAUGUCUGGGGCUGACGGGAGCCUGGGAGUCCUUCCUUGGUAGGAAUUUGCCUCUUGAACAGGCAGCUGCAGGAGGGGCGGAGGUCCCGAGGCAGGGUUUUGCUUGAGCACAUCACAGCAUUCGGUGUAGGUUGGGGACACUUAGAGAUCGCCAAACCCAAGGCAGGAGCAGCAGGAAGAAAAUACCUUUCUCAGCCAGGUUACUCCAACUCGCUACCGAUGGGCGUUGUAGAUUUCUUCAGGAGGAGCGGUGUCCCCUGUCCCUGCACCAUCUUCCCAACCCACCUGCUAUUUUGGGUUCCAGGUCUCAUCCCACUGCUGGCGUGUGUCUCUCCUCCACUCCAGCCCGUUUUCCUAGGACAUAGUCUUCAACAAAGGGAGUGGCCAGCCAAGGAAGUGGGGAAGCCAAGGUCCCCGGCUCCCACUUUGGCUAAUUAGCUCUAUCUCUUGGAGCACAAAGCACAAACCUAAGAACAAGAACCCUGGGGCUGGACUACCCUUGAGACGUAAUGACUAGAACUCAGAGCCAGAGCUCUAUCAAGGUCUUCCGUCGCCUCGCCUGCCAGCUGGAUGUCUCUCCGUUCAAGGUGGCCGCUGAAGCGAGACCGGCACUGCUUUUUCCACCUGUCACAUGGGAAGCUGGUGGCCCGCUCACCUGCUCCACUCGACUGCCUCUCCCCUGCCUCUCUGCUCAAACCGUGUCUUGACUUGGCAGGGCGACAAGACAGAAUAAAAACAUACACUUC